UACGGGGGGGAGCAAGCGUUGUUCGGAUUUACUGGGCGUAAAGGGCGCGUAGGCGGACAGUUUAGUCAGAGGUGAAAGCCCAGGGCUCAACCUUGGAAUUGCCUUUGAUACUGGCUGUCUUGAGUUCGGGAGAGGUGAGUGGAAUGCCGAGUGUAGAGGUGAAAUUCGUAGAUAUUCGGCGGAACACCAGUGGCGAAGGCGACUCACUGGCCCGAUACUGACGCUGAGGCGCGAAAGCGUGGGGAGCAAACAGG
rnacentral:rRNA from 1 species